UACGGAGGGGGUUAGCGUUGUUCGGAAUGACUGGGCGUAAAGCGCGCGUAGGCGGCUGGAAAGUUGGGGGUGAAAUCCCGGGGCUCAACCCCGGAAUGGCCUUCAAAACUCCCAGCCUAGAGUUCGAGAGAGGUGAGUGGAAUUCCGAGUGUAGAGGUGAAAUUCGUAGAUAUUCGGAGGAACACCAGUGGCGAAGGCGGCUCACUGGCUCGACACUGACGCUGAGACGCGAAAGCGCGGGGAGCGAACGGG
rnacentral:rRNA from 1 species